rnacentral:rRNA from 1 species
GACGAACGCUGGCGGCGUGCUUAACACAUGCAAGUCGAACGGAAAGGCCCUGCUUUUUUGGGGUGCUCGAGUGGCGAACGGGUGAGUAACACGUGAGUAACCUGCCCUUGACUUUGGGAUAACUUCAGGAAACUGGGGCUAAUACCGGAUAGGAGCUCCUGCUGCAUGGUGGGGGUUGGAAAGUUUCGGCGGUUGGGGAUGGACUGGCGGCUUAUCAGCUUGUUGGUGGGGUAGUGGCUUACCAAGGCUUUGACGGGUAGCCGGCCUGAGAGGGUGACCGGCCACAUUGGGACUGAGAUACGGCCCAGACUCCUACGGGAGGCAACAGGGGGGAAUAUUGCACAAUGGGCGGAAGCCUGAUGCAGAAACGCCGCGUGCGGGAUGAAGGCCUUCGGGUUGUAAACCGCUUUCACCUGUGACGAAGCGUGAGUGACGGUAAUGGGUAAAGAAGCACCGGCUAAAUACGUG